GGAUAGCCCGCCGAAAGGAGGAUUAAUACCGGAUGUGGCCACCCUGCGAUUGCAGGGGAAGCUAAAGGAUUUAUUCACUUCCCGAGGGGCUCGCGGUCCAUCAGCUUGUUGGUGAGGGUAACGGCCCACCAAUGCGACAACGGGUAGCUGGUCUGAGAGGAUGGUCAGCCACACUGGAACUGAGACACGGUCCAGACACCUACGGGUGGCAGCAGUCGAGAAUCAUUCGCAAUGGGGGAAACCCUGACGAUGCGACGCCGCGUGGAGGAUGAAGGCCUUAGGGUUGUAAACUCCUGUCAAGAGGGAAUAAGCAAGUGAAGGUACCUCUAGAGGAAGGGGCGGCUAAUUCCGUGCCAGCAGCCGCGGUAACACGGAAGCCCCGAGCGUUGUUCGGAUUCAUUGGGCGUAAAGGGUGCGUAGGCGGCGCGGAAAGUCCGGCGUGAAAGGCAGAGGCUCAACCUCUGGACUGCGUUGGAUACUUCCGUGCUUGAGGACUGGAGGGGAGACUGGAAUUCACGGUGUAGCAGUGAAAUGCGUAGAUAUCGUGAGGAAGACCGGUGGCGAAGGCGAGUCUCUGGACAGAUCCUGACGCUGAGGCACGAAGGCUGGGGGAGCGAACAGGAUUAGAUACCCUGGUAGUCCCAGCAGUAAACGAUGUGAGCUUGAUCUGGGGGGAUUCGACCCCUUCCGUGUCGAAGCUAACGCGAUAAGCUCACCGCCUGAGGAGUACGGCCGCAAGGCUAAAACUCAAAGAAAUUGACGGGGACCCGCACAAGCGGUGGAGUAUGUGGCUUAAUUCGAUGCAACGCGAAGAACCUUACCUGGCCUUGACAUGCAUUGUGUCGUCGGUGAAAGCCGGCUAGUCCUGGAAACAGGACGCUUUGCACAGGUGCUGCAUGGCUGUCGUCAGCUCGUGUCGUGAGAUGUUGGGUUAAGUCCCGCAACGAGCGCAACCCUUGUGGUCAGUUACUAACCGGCUUAGCCGGAGGACUCUGGCCAGACUGCCCUGUCAAACGGGGAGGAAGCCUCGGGGACGACGUCAAGUCAGUAUGGCCCUUAUGGCCAGGGCUGCACACGUACUACAAUGCCCGGUACAAUGUGAACCGAAACCGCGAGGUGGAGGAAAUCGC
rnacentral:rRNA from 1 species